UGGAAACUGACAGCCACUCUUCC
rnacentral:piRNA from 1 species